CAGUAGCCGCGGGAAUACGUAGGGUGCGAGCGUUAAUCGGAAUUACUGGGCGUAAAGCGUGCGCAGGCGGUUGUGUAAGACAGGUGUGAAAUCCCCGGGCUUAACCUGGGAACUGCGCUUGUGACUGCACAGCUAGAGUAUGGCAGAGGGGGGUGGAAUUCCACGUGUAGCAGUGAAAUGCGUAGAGAUGUGGAGGAACACCGAUGGCGAAGGCAGCCCCCUGGGCCAAUACUGACGCUCAUGCACGGAAGCGUGGGGAGCAAACAGGAUUAGAUACCCGAGUAGUCCCUGUCUCUUAUAC
rnacentral:rRNA from 1 species